rnacentral:rRNA from 1 species
CCUACGGGGGGCUGCAGUGGGGAAUAUUCCACAAUGGGGGAAACUCUGAUGGAGCAACGCCGCGUGAGUGAAGAAGUAUUUCGGUACGUAAAGCUCUAUCAGCAGGGAAGAGAAUGACGGUACCUGACUAAGAAGUCCCGGCCAAUUACGUGUCAGCAGCUGCGGUAAUACGUAGGGGGCAAGCGUUUUCCGGAUUUACUGGGUGUAAAGGGAGCGUAGACGGCUGUACAAGUCUGAAGUGAAAGCCCGUGGCUCAACCGGGGAACUGCUUUGGAAACUGUAGAGCUGGAGUGCUGAAGAGGCGAGCGGAAUUCCAAGUGUAGCGGUGGAAUGCGUAGAUAUUAGGAGGAACACCAGUGGCGAAGGCGGCCUGCUGGACAGAAACUGACGUUGAGGCUCGAAAGCGUGGGGAGCAAACAGGAUUAGAUACCCCUGUAGUC